rnacentral:rRNA from 1 species
AGCGAACGUUAGCGGCGCGCCUAACACAUGCAAGUCGCACGAGAAACGGAGCAAUCCGCGGUACAGUGGCGCACGGGUGAGUAACACGUGGAUGACCUUCCCUGGAGUGGUGGAUAACCUGCCGAAAGGCGGGCUAAUACAGCAUGGGACCACGACGCUUUGGCGAUGUGGGUGAAAGCGGGCCUCUAUAUAGUAAGCUCGCGCUCCGGGACGGGUCCGCGUCCCAUCAGCUAGUUGGUGAGGUAACGGCUCACCAAGGCUUCGACGGGUAGCUGGUCUGAGAGGAUGGCCAGCCACACUGGAACUGAGACACGGUCCAGACUCCUACGGGAGGCAGCAGUGGGGAAUCUUGCGCAAUGGGCGAAAGCCUGACGCAGCGACGCCGCGUGGGCGAAGAAGGCCUCGGUUGUAAG